rnacentral:rRNA from 1 species
GAUGAACGCUGGCGGCGUGCCUAAUACAUGCAAGUCGAGCGAACAGACGAGAAGCUUGCUCCUCUGACGUUAGCGGCGGACGGGUGAGUGACACGUGGAUAACCUACCUAUAAGACGGGGAUAACUUCGGGAAACCGGAGAUAAUACCAGAUAAUAUAUUCAACCGCAUGGUUCAAUAGUGAUACACGGCUUUGCUGUCAGUUUUAGAUGAAUUCGCGCCGCAUUAGCUAGUUGGUAAGGUAACGGCUUACCAAGGCGACGAUGCGUAGCCGACCUGAGAGGGUGAUCGGCCACACUGGAACUGAGACACGGUCCAGACUCCUACGGGAGGCAGCAGUAGGGAAUCUUCCGCAAUGGGCGAAAGCCUGACGGAGCAACGCCGCGUGAGUGAUGAAGGUCUUCGGAUCGUAAAACUCUGUUAUUAGGGAAGAACAAAUGUGUAAGUAACUAUGCACGUCUUGACGGUACCUAAUCAGAAAGCCACGGCUAACUACGUG